rnacentral:lncRNA from 1 species
UCUUCGCUACCCGACGAUUCCUCCUCCGCCAACCCCGACCACGGUAGCGACAGCUCCUUUUCCCACCCUGUCACAAGCCGCCCGACAAUCUGUUACUCCGCGCUCGCCCGCGCGCCCGCAGCCGCCUGUCUUCUCACCUGUGCGCCCUCGUUCCUAGCGCCGUUAUCCCGGUCACUUCCAUCAGCUCCACCGCACGACGACGCCCGCCUCCGCCAAAUCUCAACCACCGGCAAACCCGCGCCUGCACCGCCC